CCUACGGGAGGCCGCAGUGAGGAAUAUUGGUCAAUGGGCGCAAGCCUGAACCAGCAAUGUAGCGUGAAGGAUGAAUGCCCUACGGGUUGUAAGCUUCUUUUAUAAAGGAAUAAAGUGAGGCACGUGUGACUUUUUGUAUGUAUUUUAUGAGUAAUGCAAGGCUAACUACGUCACAGCAGCCGCGUUAAUACGGUGGAGCCGGUGUUUGUCCGGAUUUAUUGUGUUUAAAGGUAGAGUAGAUGUGUGUUUAAUACAGUUGUGAAAGUUUGAGGCACAACCGUAAUAUUGCAUUUUAUACUGGCAGUCUUGAGUACAGUUGAGGAAGGCGGGAUUCGUGGUGUAGCGGUGAAAUGCUUAGAUAUUACGAAGAA
rnacentral:rRNA from 1 species